AAUCAGUUGGCAGCUUUGUCUUUCUAAGUAUCAGCCUACAAAUCCCUCAUUCACGGUUUUCUUUGAAAAAGGCCUAGGUGAGUAGACUCAUGUUGGCUGGAGUUAUUUGGUGGAAGGAAGGAUUUAGAGUUCCUUGCCCAUAAUUAUUAAAAUUUAGGGCCAUUGUUGGGUUAAAUAUGGUACACACAUGGGGAAGGAGGGCGAAUCUCUCUGAUCACAAGGGAAGUAUUGAAGUGGGGAUGGAUUUAUUUUUUUAGUCUCCAGAAGACCGAUUUAAGAAUGUGCACUGGUGGGAUGGAAAGAUGAAGCCUCCAGCACAGCUUGGACUCCAGCUCCAUGAGAAAUUGUGCUGAAUGGCUCCAGCAUCGUUCACCUUCGAUGCACCUGAUAAAGCAAUCAUCAUCCCAGAAAGGUCCUGAGAGGUAUCUGCAUGAAUGCCGGCAGAUGGCCCCAGAGGAAAAUGCUUGGUGCUGCACAGGGCUGGGAUUCGCAUGCUCAGCGCCGUAUGACUGCUGCAGCCUGUAGGUAUGUGAGAAUAAGGAACCCCUUAAACAUUACAGCCUGGCUGCUCUCUGAUCAAGUUCUCUCAUGGUAAUAAUCCUGGGUUUAAUGAACCUUUUGAAUUGUGAGCCCAAUUGAAAUAUUUCUCGGAUCAGAGUUUCCAUAGCUGUGUUUCAUGGGAAGAAAGAAGGGGAGGUGAUGUUUAUAUGGCUUUCUGCCCCUUUGCCUCCCUCAUCUUUUUGGUAGAAGCAUAUUUUCUUGCCUCACUAGACCUGGCUUGUAUGUGGGAAAGAAAGAGGAGAAGCCCCCCACCCAAGCUAUCAGUUUUUUCUUUUCUGCUUGUAGAUCUUUUGUUCACUGACUCUUUCCCAGGUUUUUAAUUUUUUUAAAAACCAUCUGGAGCCUUUUUUCUUUUCCUCCUGUUGGUAAUUUCUGCCAGGUUUUCAUUUUGACACUUCCUGUUACUUUUCUUUGAUUUCCAUUCUCUAUUUCUGAUUUAUGAUCCUUGUCUCUGGUGAGCCAAUGAACAGAAACUGGAAUCCAAGUGCAUCCUGUUCUGUAUAUCUUGUAAUAUUGUUACACAGUUGUUUUCCUUUAAGUCAAUGAUUUAUGCCUUAAGACUUCACUCUCCUUGUAAAAUGCAUUGCACGCCUGAUAAGCUAAAAAUGCUCAAAGCUCUCAGCCAAAGUUUGUCAGAAAAAUACUGUGACUUUAUGUAGCCGCAAGGGAAUUUUUAUCUGUGGUUACGAUUUCCAGAUUCUGAGCAUCUCAAGGGUGACUUAGUCAUAAAAUCUGUGUCAACACCAGAUAAUCAAACUGUGGGUAAUUAAACCUGUUAUCUCUGCAUCCACUGGACAGAAUGUCUCUGUUCAUUAUGUUGAAUCAGGUGUAGUCUGUAGCACACGUCUGUUCUUGGCCUGUAUCUUACUGCAGUUACUAUGUUGGUUAACUGCCCCAGAGCAUCGGGGUCCAUUCCUGUAGGCUGACACAUGAGCGUUUCGGGAACGCAGGAAACUCCUGCCCAGUGAAAGAAGCUCUCACAAGCUCUCUGGCUCACAUGCUGUUCUCCAGAUAGCUCUCAAAAUGGAUGCCAGCAUGAACCCAUAGCUCUCGUUCCUUGCUUGGCAAGAGCUUUUGGAUCCUGAAAUGAAGCACAGAAGGCAAUUCUGGCGCUAUCUGUAGCACUGUGAGGUUCUCAGAUAAUAAUGCACUGCUCCUGCAGCUCUUCCUGCGGCUCCCUCAAGGCAGCUGGACACUCCAAGAUGUGCAUAACAUGUACCAGCAUCAGCUUGGUUGACACAUUUCAGCUGUCUUUUCAUCAUGGGCUUACAGCAGUGCUGCUGAUCUAAUAGCCUUGCACAGCUAACCCAAUUCUUAAGAAACAGAAAUCAAAAGACAUCCAGGACACAGCAAGAGCAAAGCAGAGAAUGGAAAAGCAGUCUGAAGGAAGAUAGAGGCUCAAAUUUCAUGAUCCAAAUAUGUGAGGAUUUGCUGCAGUUUCUAGAAAGGAGGGUGCAAUUCAAUAUUUGAUUUCAUCUCAAGAAGAUCAAAUAAAUCGCUGGGAUGAGGAAGGCUGUUCAUUUCAGCUCAGUUCUUCUCUCAGCAUCCUGUUUCUCAUCCCAGAAAAUGUUUUAUUUUAAAAAGAAUACAGUGGUUGUGAUGGAUGGCAGAGCUCAUGCAUGUUUAACUUUAUAGAAGCCAAAUGAUCUCCGCUGCUGACCACCCAAACCUGCUGGAAAGUGCUUGCUCCAAAUGAAAAUGCUUAGGUUUAGUCAUGAUUUAGUCCUAAAAUAUAUUAAGUGAUGAUUUGGGCAGGGGAAAGAAAGUUUUUCCUGUAGAGGGAUGAUGCAGGAAAAGGAAGACUUCUUUAGUUUUCAGAAUGAUAUAUUUCUGAGUCAUCCAUGCAUGAUAAGUGCAGAGACAAGUGAGUCCUGCCCUUUGCUAGGUUUAUGUCUAUUUUACACACACACAUGCACGUACUCUUAUAUAAAGAAAGAAAGCUAUGGAGGGAGAGAACAGCAGUGAUUAUUACACCAACUGGUUUUAUUAUUGGUUUUGCUGUGCAGACUCUGAGCCACGUGGGUGUUGAUGGUUGACUUUUUAAGAGACUUAAUGAAGGUUACCUUUGGAAAUUGUGACAUUCAUAAUGAUAAAUGUGCUUCUUACUUAGAGGAAUCCAGUUAUCUUAAACAGGCUAUGAUAAAAUAAUUAUUUUCUUUGGGUUUUUUACAUACUUCUGCAUUAUCCCUGGUCAGAGCUAAUGCCAGUAUUUUUCAGAUGACUGUAAUUUUAUUGCUUUCCUACUGAGAAAGGGAAAUGAGGUAUCUUUCUUAAGUGCUCCUUGAAAAGAAUAGAAAAGCAAGACCAUUGUAAGUACCAAAAGGAGACUCCUCAUUAUUUGCAUCUCAUUACCAUUCAAAAGGAAAUUUGAUGGGGGAGGGAUACUGAUUCUAGUCAGACUGUCCUUUUAUGUCUCAUAUCUGAGGCACCUCUCAUUCACUGAGAAAAUGUUUUGAGACUCUUAAAGGCUGCUUCUCAACCCAGAAAAUGAAAGAAACCCAUUAGAAGACCUGGCUCUCUUGAGGGGUCUGUAUGUUUACUGUCUGUAUCUUCUGGAGCCCACCCACCCUUCUUCCUUGGGAUGCUCUUACACUUGUGACUGCUGACACAACAUGCCUUAAAACCUGUACUAGCUCUUGGUUCUCGCAUGUUUUGAUCAUCACUGACAUCAGCUAGAGCAUACAAGGUGUUGAAUAUAUCAGCCCUAACUUUAGCUCAUGGGAAUACCAGGAGAUCUUACAUCUCAGGCUUUCCACACAUGCUUGCAGAACAGCAUGGGUUAUAUUUGCACUGGGGUUUAAACAUUUUGUUUGCUGUGACAACAAUUACAGUGCUAUUUUCUAUUUUGCUGUAAGUUAGAGCUGUAAAUAACAGUGGAGAGAUCUAACCACCCCCUGCUCUCCAAGCAAUUUCAUGAACUCAGAACCGUUAGAGAACAAUGCAGUUCUGCUCUCAAAUGUUAUUGUGUCUGUGGGAGAGUAUUUCUCAACCUGUGCUCUGGGGACCACUCGUGGUCUGAAAGACUUCAGGGAAUGGUUUGUGAGAUCACUCUAAAACAAAGCAACUCUCCCCACUAUCUCCCCUAUCCCAAAACUGCCCAAACCCACACACACGUCACAACUUUCAAGGGGAGGCCUAAUUUUUACUUGCUUAUUCAUGAAGAACUGCACGAAGAGUGCUCAAGCAGCCUGCAUCCUAGUCCUCCACAACCUCAGGGAUCACUGGAUUAAAAAACAUGGUCAAACACUUCUUUGGAGAAGUAUGUCCAUUAUGUUAUUUAUUUGGGAAGACACAAAGUAUCUGCCUCUUGCGUUGUCUAUACUUUUUAGAGUCAAUGACAGAAUGCUGCAUCAGGCUUCCAUCAUCCACCAGGACCAGCAUAUUAGGUGCAACAGUGCUAGUAAUAAAACCCAUCAGUUUUAUGUUAUUUUACUCCACUCCUUUCAUCUCCUGGACACCACCUCAGAUGCUGCAGUGGCCCUUACUACCCUUACUACCACUGUUACAGUAGUCUGGGUUGGCUUUUCCAAUAUAAAUAUUGCUCCUGGAAUAUCCCCGCUACUGCAUACCCUCAUCUCAAAUGCAAACCUUUGCCCUUCCUCACAGCUCCUCUACACAGGAAGGACAUUCUUUCUGCUAUACACAGAAGCUUACAUUGCAGCUCUAUAUCUGCAGGAAGCCAAGACUAAAUGCAGCAGCUACAUCAGAUUGUGGAGUGUAAGACAAGGAGAAACCUCCACAUCAGAGGCUCCUCUGCUAUUGCAAAGAAAUCAUACAUUUUGCAUGCUCCAUCUUAAGAGUGGUUGGGUUUCUUGCUCCCACUGUUUCUACAAGCUUGUUGGAGCCUUGCUCCAGAGCUUGCUUCUACCAGAGCUUGCUGGAAACUUUGUAAUUCAGAAACUUUUUUAUGGUACAUGUAAAUCUAUUUAUUCAUGUGUUCAUGCUGCCUUUUAUCUUAGUGAAUCAUCUGCACUGCCAUCACAUCUGUACUGGCCCCUACCCAGAUGCUGCCGAGCACCUGACAAACGCUGCGUAUGGAGCUGACCCAAAAGGAUUCGGGACAAGAUGGAGCAGAAGAUGCCAAACACAGACGUGUGCAGAGGAGUCAAACUGGCAUCCUGACUGCUGAGAGCCCUGGUGCCUCUUCCACCACAGGGAACACAGAAAUGCCUUAGAGUACUGCUGUGAAAGGCAGGUUGAGGUAAUGAGGAAUCACAGGCAUGGCUGCUCCAGAGAGGAGGAGGCCAGGUUUAUUGCUAUACCUCAUUCACCUGAAUUCUUUACAAAAAGGAACCAAACCACUGCCACACUCCCGAGCACACAGGAAUUCAGGAUUGCCUCUUGCCUGCGCUGGAGCAUGGUCUGUUGUAAGUGUGGGCCCAAGACAGGGGUCUGAACGCCUGCCGGUAACCCCAGCAGUUUGGUUGUUAGUUAUUAAGGAAGCAAAGGAAAGCACAGGGACUGUGGUAUCUGCUGUGGCUUCUGCGAUCUAGGAGCACCAACAUUUGCUGAAAUAGAGUUAGGACUGUUCCUAUGAGGUUUUAGCACAACUGUAUUCUUGUAGGUUGAUGUUGAGAUCAUCUUAACCAACGCUUUGCUGCAAUGUCUGUCGCACAUUUUACCCUGUUUCAUGCAGCCCCAGCUGAAGCCUAGCUCUGCCCACGGCUUGGUAUGUCUAAAGCCACCAUUUAGCAUAACAAAACAAGUUAACAUAGGCUUGCAUUUUGGCCAGCCAGACAUGAUAACUUUUUAAUCUAUGAUUUUGUUUUGGCCAAUGAUUAAGAACAUGAUUAAAGCUGUGAUUUUUUUUGACACUAGAAGAUUUAUUUAUGCAUACUAAAUAAGUAUUUUUUCCAGUUCUAAUGCUAUUUACUGCAUGUUGCACAACUUCAGUCUCUAAGAAAGGAACAAAAAAAGGCACAGUCUGAGUACUGAGUGGCACAGCACAUUGCACAUUAACAUACACAUGAUAGAGUUGAUACCAGUGAGAUUCUAAUCUAUGCCACAAAAGUACACUGUUAACCAGACAUAUCCACAAACACUUCUUCCUCCACAUAACACUGUUUCAAGAAGACAGAUAUCCUGGUCUCAGGCACAGCUGUCAGCACUGCUUC